GGGCGCCUACGGGAGGCAGCAGUGGGGAAUUUUGGACAAUGGGCGCAAGCCUGAUCCAGCUAUUCCGCGUGUGGGAUGACGGCCCUCGGGUUGUAAACCACUUUAGUAGAGAACGAAAAGGAGCUAUCGAAUAAAUAGCUCUGCUGACGGUACUCUAAGAAUAAGCACCGGCUAACUACGUGCCAGCAGCCGCGGUAAUACGUAGGGUGCGAGCGUUGUCCGGAAUUACUGGGUGCAAAGGGAGCGCAGGCGGGAAGCCAAGUCAGCUGUGAAAACUACGGGCUUAACUUGUAGACUGCAGUUGA
rnacentral:rRNA from 1 species